rnacentral:lncRNA from 1 species
GAGAUAAAUAUAUAGUAUUUGGUUUGGGUGUUAUAGGUGAUGGUGCUUGUGGUAUUUCUAUAUGUUCUAUAUUUGUAAUUUCUUCAUGAUUUCUAUCUAUUUUUUCUUCCAUUCUAUCUAAUUGUUGUCCUAUAAUAUGUAAUGAUACAUUGGUCCAAUUAUUUUGUAAAGUGAUAUCCCUUAUGUGAUUUUUUGCUAUAUUUGUUGUAUCUACUAUUGAUUGCAUUCCAUGAGCUAUUUGGUUCUUUUUAAAGAAUAUCCUAUCCAUUGGUGGUCUUUCACACUCAUGACAUAGGUCACUCGGUUCUCCUGCAUUAUUC